UGUGUAAAAAAAAAUUACAACUUUAAUUAGUUUUGUAAAAUAUACAACUCUACAAAUCCUUUAAUUUUUUUUUAUAGGAACUCUACAAAUCUUUGUAGUCAAACUUCAACUAUUGUGCAGCCUUUGUGCUUCAUCUUUAAAUGAAUCUACAUAACUGGAAAAAUAAAAUAGAACAAAUCAAUAAAAUUUAGUUAAAACGAAAUAACAAUCGUCGAAGAGUAACCCACAUAUAUCACCCGUUGUUAAAGAAGACGAAAAAUUGAACAAAGAGACAAAAGACUCUAAAACUAUAGAGAGAUAGAAAGAGGAUGAAAAAUAAAAUGAUGAAUUUUAAUAUAUUAUAAACUACAGUGAGUCAAGAACCAAGAACAAAUAUGUGAUAUUUAGAAAAUAGGGAUGAAACAUUAUUUUUUGAAAUAAUUUCGAAUUUGAUAACUGAAUGUUGAAAUGGUGAGAGAAACCAAGCAAGGACAAUCCGAACAACUAUGGUCCAUGACUCCUUCACGGGGUUGAUCUCAAAGAUAUUAUCAGAUUUUGGUGUCAUUAUAAUAUCGUUAUUUAGUUUGACAGGGAAGAGAAGAAGACAGAUGAGACAACUGAAGAAAACAUUGGUAUAUAUAGGUUAAUAGUAUAGGUAGAAUAAUAUUGAAACCAUAUAAAAAUAAAAGUUAUGAUACAAUAAAACCAAAAUAAUACAAUAUGAUUGGUUCAACAAAACAACAAU
rnacentral:lncRNA from 1 species